AUAUAUGCAAUUGUUCCUUUUGACAAAUUUGUAAUCAAAUCUGUUACUCCAAAACAAAACCCAGCUCCUGAAAAUGGCGGCUGCCACCACGAUUGGAGUUCUCUCGUCUACAUCACUCCAUUCCGGCACCAGAUUUCUCAAUAACUGUUCUUCGAUUUCCCAUCUCUAUUGCUCGUCAUUCCUUCCCAAUUUUCACCUUCCGCAUUUUCCUUCAACCGUCACACACAUUCAAUCGGCAGAAUUUCAUCGGUGAUCGGUACUGUUGCAUCGGCGACAGGGAUGAGUUCUCCAUUCAAGCCGGAGGAAGCUAGAAUCCCUCCUGCUAUUCCAUUGCCCACCCCUCCAAUUUCCAAGGCAAGUAAACAAUCUUGUUCCUUGAUAUUCGUGCACAUGUAAAAUUGUGUGGUUUGUUAUUUCAUGACUAUUUAAGCUUAAAUGUGUAACUGAGUGGGGAUUUUUUGCCGCACUUGAGUUCCAGCCUUCAAUUUUCUUGGCACUUUUGUCCUAGUCCUUAUAUAUAGAUUGCAUCCUAGAAGUCACCUAGAAUUUCACUGGUGACUAGUAAGAAGUCUGGCGAUUCUUCUAAAACCGAUAACUGUCUAGGUCUUGUUCCCAUUUAAGAUCACUAGACUGUAUAUCAUGAAGAUAGAAAUGCUUAUGGUUCAUAGAUAGAGUCUUAGUGGGAUUUAGACAAGUUAAUAUGAAGACUUUUUGCUCAGUAAUAUUUGAGUGCUUGGUGAUUUCUGAAUGAGGCGGAGACUAAUGAAAUGGCAAUUGUAUGUUGACCAAAGAAAUUGCUGGAAACAAGGUGAAAUUUUUUCAGAAAUGAAGGUACCACUGGAGGAGUGUAGAGAUUGUUUUUGAGGAGUUACCAAGUGGGUUGCCUCCAAUAUGAAGCAUUCAACAUCUACUCAUCUAGCAUUACGAGAAAUCCUACCAAAUAUAGCAUGAUAUAUAAUGUCCAAAUAAAAUGAAGAACUCCAAAGACAAGUAUAAUGUAGGCACUUUGAGUUUGAGCACUUUUGACAACAAAAAAAGAGGGUAUGUGGAGGAUGUGCGUUGACAACUGAAGAUCACAAGAUAAUGAUACCCUUUUGUUUUCCAAUCGCAAGAUAGGAUGACAUGAUAUCUUAUAUAGAGGUAAAAUAAUUUCCAAAAUUGAUGGUAACCAUCAAAUUAGAAUCUGCAAUGACAUUUGGUUUAUUCGGUAGUCCCAGCACCUUCAUGUAUUUGAUAAUUCAUGCUUGAGAUCCUUUUAUUGGGAAAAAUUGUGGCAAUGUAUUUCAACGAUACACAAAGUAGCAAUCAUUCUAAAGAGAC
rnacentral:lncRNA from 1 species